rnacentral:rRNA from 1 species
GAUAGAGCCACUUCGGUGGGGAUUAGUGGCGAACGGGUGAGUAACACGUGGGCAAUCUGCCCUGCACUCUGGGACAAGCCCUGGAAACGGGGUCUAAUACCGGAUACUGAUCCUCGCAGGCAUCUGCGAGGUUCGAAAGCUCCGGCGGUGCAGGAUGAGCCCGCGGCCUAUCAGCUAGUUGGUGAGGUAACGGCUCACCAAGGCGACGACGGGUAGCCGGCCUGAGAGGGCGACCGGCCACACUGGGACUGAGACACGGCCCAGACUCCUACGGGAGGCAGCAGUGGGGAAUAUUGCACAAUGGGCGAAAGCCUGAUGCAGCGACGCCGCGUGAGGGAUGACGGCCUUCGGGUUGUAAACCUCUUUCAGCAGGGAAGAAGCGAAAGUGACGGUACCUGCAGAAGAAGCGCCGGUCUAUUUACUUGCCAGCAGCCGCGGUAAUACG